AGGACAUCCCGUAUGAGCAAUUCACGUGAGCGCUUUGCUCUCGAGCGAUAAUAAAAAUAGUCACACGAAACUAGUAGAGGAAUUGGAAGAGGAGAGAAUCGGAAGCGACGUUACGUGCGAACUUCGAGAUGUUUUAAUCGAAAGAUUUGUAUAUCAUCCAAGUUACAAUUAAAAUUGAAUAAUGGAUCUAUUAGAAAAAAAAAUAUUUUUCAUCGAGAGAAAUAAUUUAGAGAAAUAAUUUUCAAUAUUACUUCCUAAAAGAUAGCUUAUCGCUUCACAGAUUAAUUAUUAUGUUAUAUAAAUUUCAUAAAGUUUUUGCAAUUUAUCUUUGAUAAUAUUCGAAUUAUUUCCUGGAAGAUAACUUAUAAUUUCACAGAUUUAUUAUUAUUAUAUAUAUUUCGCAAAGUGUUUUGUAAAUUUCGUUUUACAAUUUCUUCGAUAAUUUAUAUUUUAAAAGAUAAUUUAUCAGUUUGCAAUUGUUAUUAUAAUAUCUACAGAAUUUCAAUUUAAGAAUACAGGAAGUAACGUUUUAAUAAAAUCACCGCUCGUCUUUCUUUGGCAGCUCUUUCCUUUUAUGCCAGUUCGUCGUGUUACAUUUACUGCAAAAUUGAUCCCCACUUUCUUUAGUUGUGAAACGUUUUCUUCAAUCCCCUUCGGAACGAUCCAAAGGUCUAUUUACCGUGCAAUUCUUAGCUCGACUCUCUAUCAUUAUCGUCGAUACUCGAGAAAUAUAGAUAUCGCGUGUAACACAUUUCCUGCAAUUCGCUAAAUCUACUCUGACAUUUCUAACGGCAAAAAUUUCGAUCAUUUAUGCAAUUAUUUUAGAAAAUAAGUUGUUAAAAUUUUGCGAGAUAUAACAAUAAUUAAUAUGUGAAGUGGUAAGUUGUUUUUUAAGAAAAUAAUAUGAAAAUUAUUGAAGAUAAUGUUUGAUGAUGCUUAACAUUUUAUGAUAGUGUUAAUUGCUUUAUUGCAAAUAUUGGUAUUUAACAGAAUUUUAUUUUUUCUAUGAUAUAUAAGAAAUUUAAAAAAGAUAUUAAUGUAAAUGAAUAUUAUGAAGAAGAUAUUAAUGUUUAUUUAUUAUAAUGUGAAUAUAAUGUAUAAUAUUCAUAUAAAUUCAUUUUAUAUUUAUAAAAAUAUACGUUUUAUAAUUCUUUCUUCAUAUAAUAAAUUAUAUUUAAUGGAGAAAAUUAUGAAGAUAUUCGAAAUACAAUAAAUUUUGUUAUUUCAUCAAUAAUAUUUAAAAUAAUUAAUAAUAAAUAAUUAUAAACAAAAAAUAUUAGAUUGUUUUGAGGAAAAUUUAAAAAUGAAGCUAUUUAAACAUAUAGAAUAAGAAACAUAAAGAUUAAAGAAAUAACCAUAAUAAUCUUCUGGGAAGAUAUUUCAGUUUCACGAUACUUUAUGCAAAAGUAAAUAAGGAUCAAAAAACACGCCUCUUCGAAUUUUAUAUUGCACACAACUGAGUUUGAAGAGUAACUUGAUGCCGCAGAAUUUUUCCAACCUUUCCCUCAAACAGUGAUUUAAAUAAUUCGCAAUUUCCCCGCCCGCAAACGACACACCAUUACGAAAUCUUUAACCACCGGUCGUUUUUGCCGUGAAGAAACCCGUUAAUGUCCACGUAACGUUGCAAACUUGAUGUUGGCCACUAAUGCCACUACCUUUUCGUCUAGAAUGCGAGCUGACUUCGCAAAAUCCAACUAUUUCGUUUCUUAGAUUGAAAGAAAAAGUUUACGUGCAUAUAGAAAUUCUUGCUGAAUACCAAAUAAAGAAAAUAAAAUAUUCUGAUUACAAAACGUAAUUAGAGAUAUAUAAAAUAUAAAAUGAAUUUCAGUAAUAAAGAUCCAUUCAUUUUAAAUUUUCAACGUUUUUAUAUUUGAUUAUUUUUUAAAUAAAAUAAACUUGUACGAGAAUCAAUUUUCUUUUGAUAUUUUUAUUUUAUCAUAUUUUAUCACGAAUGAUUACAAUUCAUUUGUGUUAAAUUUUAAUAUUUUACGUCUAGGUAUUUUUGUAUUAUUAUAAAAUAAGUUUUAUUUCGUAUCAAAUAUACUUAUUUAAUAUUUGAUUUUUAUUUGACAAUUUGAAUUAUUAUCAUCAUAAAACAUAAAUUUUCUAUUACACGUUUUAAUUUUCUAUCUUUUUAUCUUCUUUUAGCCAGAUUAAAAUUGAUGUCAUUGAUUCAGUUCCACGAUUAAGAAUUAUGAAAUAUCUAUAAAAAUAAUGACAGGUUCACACAUAUAUCGUUCUAAAAACCACAAUGAUGUUAUCUCAGUGUUCAUAGAAGUGACUAACACUGCGGUUUCCUGUGAGGGUGUUCCUUUGUCGGCUAUGUAAAUACUCACUGAGAUUAAACACACAGUUUUACUCAAAGGAACGUAUCUGCUAAUCCAAUUAUUAUUUUAUGAUACCGUCAUAUCACCGAUUGCAUUGAUAACACGAAAUUAUUAUUCAGAAUUCGUUAAACAUUACGUGAUUCUGUGCGAAUAAUUGUUGAUCCAAUGUUUGUUUAAAAAAUUCAAGAAAUUGACUAGUAAACAGAAAAUAUAAAAUAUUUGAAAUUUCUGAUGGUGUAAUUUUACGACGGAUUGGAAUGAGACGAGGUAAAAAUAGAUGUUAUACAGGAAUUUUUACGGAAAUGAAAUAAAUGAUCAAAGAUUUGCAAAAUAUGUUUUUGUACGGCUGAAAUCCUAAGAAUUGUGAAAUCGAUUCUCCAAAUUAUUACGAAUUCUUUUUAAAUUUUAUAUGCGUGAAUCACAUACAAUAUUUUGCUUCAUUGUGUAAAAUUUUAAUUGAAACGUCAGAUUUUUGCUUUUUAUCGUUAACAGAGAUAAUAUUGGAAUGCAGCUUGUUUGCAUAUCGUUAAUUUUGUCUGGGAACAAAAAAUUAAUGAGAAGUUUUUGAAAAAAAAACUGGAAUAAUUUAAAUUGAACAAAACAGGAGACGUAUUACGAUAUAUGCAAAAUUGAAGUAAAGACGUGAUACAACAGUUUUAUAUGAUAAAAUAAUAUUAUCUGCAAUUUGGUAGCAGAAAUAAAGUAUGUCGUUGAUAAAAUAAAAUAUUAUUGAUGUCUCAGAUAAAUUCCAUAUUUAGUAAUAAAUUUUUCUUUGAAAAUUAAUUUGAUCAUCUUAUCUUGUUAUAUUAAAUAUAAACUAAUGAAAUAUUUAUAAUUAUAUUUAUUGUCAAUAACUGAAGUUUCAAGUAAUUUCAAGUAGCCAAGAUUCGAAAGAAUACAAUCAACAUAUUGUAAUUCUCUUCUCACAUAUUUUAACAAAGUAUCGGCUUAUUAAGCACAUUAACAUGUUUUCCAAUACGUGCAACACGCGUUUAACACGUGUUGCUGAGUUCAUCAUGACGAACGAGGUAAAUCUCUCCUGUUUCGUGGCCUAACGUAGACUGGGUUCAUAAAAAGAGACUCUCACGAAGCUAACGAGGCUAUGCAAAGUUUCUUCACUUUCGAAAGAGGCUUUAAUGAAACGACGCACGAAAAACGAGCAUCGACUCGGAGAGAAACUUUUGCGUUUUUGAAGAGAACCGACUCGAAAUACGGAGAUUAUUAAUCCAUUAAGGAUGGAGUGGUGAAAUAUUUACGCGUAUAAUUAUUCACCAUUUAUCAAGAAUGAUUCUAAUGCAUGGACGAUUUGACGAUUGAAUAAAUAUUAAUUUUAUUAAUCAUUAAUGCUACGUAAAGUAUUCAUCAUAAAAUAGAGACAUAGAAAACAUUUCGUAAUAUUUUGUAACAUUGUUAAUUCUAAUUGAAAAAUAAAAUACCAAGCAAAUUCUUGGAAUUAUAAUAUAAGUAUCUUAAGCCUCUCAAUACUUUGGAGAUUAAAAAAGGAAAAAAUAUCUUUUUAUUAAUUAUUUAUUAUAAGUAUAUCUUAGAAUGUUUUUAUAAAAAAGAUUAACGUAUUAAAUUUCUAGAUCUAUUUUUAUUAAUGAAAAGAAAAGGAUUAAUGAAUUAAAUGAAAUGGCGAAGAUAAAAGUGAAUUUUCGUUAAAGGAUAAGCAUAUGUGAAACAAUGAGACUUUUUUCUUUUUUUUUUUGCACGAGUGUUUGUGGAUGCAAUCUCGAGUAAUAAUCGCGCCUAGAUGAAGAUGAAAUCUCGAUGGUACAGACAUAAUCUACGUCCAAUCUGCCAAUACUAUUAGCUAAUAACACGACAUUAGUCGGUGAAUAUUGCAGCAACAUCGAAAGGAGAUGGUAUAAAUUCCAAAUGAGUAAUUUCGAGACGUAUUGGCGAUUUAGCCAAUUCGUUGAAAUCGAAUUGAAUCGUCAAAGAAAUAUGGUUGUAAAACAUAAUUUGAAUAUAAUUUUAUAAACAUAAUUAGAAUCUAAUUAAAAACAUUUCGUGUGAAAAACCUUGUGGGUGAGGAUAUCCUGUUUAUUGGGCAACAAUAUUAUUUUCAUUGGGAUUUUCAUUGUUUAAACAGAGAAUACUUGUUGAAAUUGUAUCUUAAGACUCGAUUAAAAAUUACAAAUUACAUGAUUUUGAAUCUUGACAUUCCUUAAUUUAUUUCAUUUUAUUUAUUUUUAGAAUUUUGAACAUGUUAAAAUUUAUAUUCGAGAAAUAUAGAUACCAGUAUGUAUGGGCAAAAAGUUACAUUCGAUUUCAAGAUGGCUAAUCAGCGGCUAAUUAACGUUAGAAUGAUCGUAAUUUGGAUUAUGAAAGUUCACGUUGCAUCCUGGUGUAAGCAGUGAGGUAAUUGUAUCGGUGUUUUCUCACGAUUCUUACCUCUGUACUGAGACGCAGCAUGAAAGUGGUAAGAUGCUCCGUCAAGGUCUUCGUCAGCUUGAAGAGGACUUAGGCUCAAAAGUUUUGGCGCCUCGGCGUGGCCACGAAACCAACGCAUUUCUGGAAUAAUAACAUUAAUAACAAUAAUAAUUAUCUCUCACAUAUAAAUAUUUUUAUCGAAUCGAACAAAAUUAUUCUUUCGCCCUUAUCCAUUGCAUUAAUAUUCCAUAUUAAUUUAUAUAUAUAUAUAUUACAGAAUAUCGAAAGAUUGCAAAGUAUCGAUCGCCAUAAUAAUAAUUUAUAAAAGUGAAACGAGUUACACUUGCGGUGAAUGGAUUUCGCGUGAACGAAUGGCGACAGUUUCCGCCGUGUUCGCUGAACCGAGGCCCUUCCUUUCUAUCUCGUGAUUGCACUUGUUACUGAUACUGAAUAUUGUGUAAAAAAAAAGAAGGAAAAAAGGCUUGAUGAACGGGCAACCUUGGCAAAGAAUGGAGGAUGUCAUAAAUUACGAGGCUAUCGUUAAAUCAAUUCACUGCUCAAUUCACUGUUUGAUUCGAAAUGCGUCGAUCACAUCGACGAUGUAGAUUACGCAAUAUUUCAAAAAAAUCGUACAUUCGGAAAAUUCUCAUUUCUUUUUUUUUGUUUCGAUCCACUGAAUCAUUUAUUGAUUGAGAUUCGUCAAUAUAUAGGUAAUAAAAAAGAAGAGGAUUAAUAUACAGAUUAUUUAAAAUAAUACUAAAUAAUUCUUUAUUAUAAUAAUUUAAAAUUUGUACAAAUAAAUCACAUUCUCCUUUGUUCACUUAUUUAAUUUUGUGAAAUUAUAUAUAUGAAUUUAUUACAUAUUAUGUAUAACAUUAUUCAACAUUUCGUAUCAUUAAUUAAAAAUAACAAUUUUCUCUAUAUCAACCAAAAAUAAAUGAUUCCUUUCCAAUCUAAUACAGAUCUUACUUUACAGGAAUUUAACAAGUAUCGAUUACAUGGUCGACAAAUUGUAUUCCUGCCUCUUUUUGCAGGCGUUAAAAUCUCCGAUAGUGUCGUAACGGUAGCUCGUUCACUCCUUCUAAAGUAAUAGAACAUUACAUUUCAAGAUUUCCCGGCGGGCGUAGAAAUUUUGCUAUCACACACGCGCGUGUAGAAUCCUGUUUCCACGAGACGGCCGCGUAAUGAGAUGAUUAAUACCGCGAAAUCGAGUUAUGCAAGGUGUUAAUGCAUCGAUUAUGUAGCACGCAACCACCGUGAGAGAAAGAGGCGAGGGGACGAGAGAUGCGACUUUCUCCGAUGCAAAUAUGUGUGCCGUCUCCGUUGCUUCCACGUCCACUUUUCACUUUUCAUUCAGACGACUGAUGACUAUCAAAGAAGAUGAAUCGAGGAUCAAAGGUUGGCCUUCCGUCGACAGCAAGUUCACGGUCAAGUGAACUCGAGAAACGCACGCUUUGUCACACUUGGUCGGUCGCGAUUACUCAGAAAAGUAUGCGUAUACUGAAGGAUUGAUGAUCAUUAAAAUUAGAAUUGUAUUUUGUUUCUUGGAAUGUAUCGUUUCAAUAAUUAUUUAAAUAUAUAUUGUAAAGAAAAUUCCUUUUUAAAAUAUAAAUUUCUUGAAAAAUUU